rnacentral:rRNA from 1 species
CCUACGGGCGGCAGCAGUGGGGAAUAUUGGACAAUGGGGGGAACCCUGAUCCAGCCAUGCCGCGUGUGUGAAGAAGGCCCUCGGGUUGUAAAGCACUUUCAGUGAGGAAGAACGCCUGGUGGUUAAUACCCAUCAGGAAAGACAUCACUCACAGAAGAAGCACCGGCUAACUCCGUGCCAGCAGCCGCGGUAAUACGGAGGGUGCGAGCGUUAAUCGGAAUUACUGGGCGUAAAGCGCGCGUAGGUGGCUUGAUAAGCCGGUUGUGAAAGCCCCGGGCUCAACCUGGGAACGGCAUCCGGAACUGUCAAGCUAGAGUGCAGGAGAGGAAGGUAGAAUUCCCGGCGUAGCGGUGAAAUGCGUAGAGAUCGGGAGGAAUACCAGUGGCGAAGGCGGCCUUCUGGACUGACACUGACACUGAGGUGCGAAAGCGUGGGUAGCAAACAGGAUUAGAUACCCCAGUAGUC